rfam:Octopus bimaculoides Scaffold153547_contig_1, whole genome shotgun sequence.
AGGUGCAGGCGUGGGAAUCACUCGGCUCGUCCGUCGAUGAAGAGCGCGGCUAUCCGCAGGAACUGAUGCGAAUUGCAGGACUCAGUGAACAUCGACACCUCGAAUGCACAUUGUGGCCCUGGGAUCCCAUUGUCCCGGGGCCCCCCAUCUGGUCG